AGCGGAUUGGUCGGAAAGUAGGUUAGUGGUGCGACAUUUAGGGAAGGCAGAAAGUAGGUCAGGGACGGAGGUGCCUGUUUACCCGCGCCGGACUCACCGCCGCCGCCGCCGCGGGAUCCGAGUGCGGGCGCGGGUGCGGGCGCUCCCGGCGAGCCACGGUGGUGCUGGCUGGAGUGCAUGCUUUUGGACCCAUCCUUAACUUUUCAAAUGUGGAAUCUUAGGCCUUCAUUGCUGCCCCACAGCUAGAAAAAAAGCACUCCUUCUUCAAGACACUUGACUG
rnacentral:lncRNA from 1 species